AUAAGAGAAUGAGGGCGGGCUGGACCUCUCGGGGUUACAGCCUUGCUGACUUAUUCCCCUUGUCUUUUGCGUACUUCUUGUUUCCUUGGUGGGUUCGCCCACCACUAGGACAAACAUAAACCUUUUGUAAUUGCAAUCAGCGUCUUUAACAAAUUAAUAAUUACAACUUUCAACAACGGAUCUCUUGGUUCUGGCAUCGAUGAACAACGCAUCGAAAUGCUAUAAAUAAUGUGAAUUGCAAAAUUCAGUGAAUCAUCGAAUCUUUGAACGAACAUUGCGCCCUUUGGUAUUCCAAAGGGCAUGCCUGUUCGAGCGUCAUUUGUACCCUCAAGCUUUGCUUGGUGUUGGGCGUCUUGUCUCUAGCUUUGCUGGAGACUCGCCUUAAAGUAAUUGGCAGCCGGCCUACUGGUUUCGGAGCGCAGCACAAGUCGCACUCUCUAUCAGCAAAGGUCUAGCAUCCAUUAAGCCUUUUUUUUCAACUUUUGACCUCGGAUCAGGUAGGGAUACCCGCUGAACUUAAGCAUAUCAAUAAGCGGAGGAAUUC
rnacentral:rRNA from 1 species